rnacentral:misc_RNA from 1 species
CGCAGCCGCGGUAAUUCCAGCUCCAAUAGCGUAUAUUAAAGUUGUUGCAGUUAAAAAGCUCGUAGUUGAAUUUCGGGAUCAAUAUAUCGGUCGUGCCUCGGUACGUACUGGUAUCAUUGGUUUCUCCUUUCUGACGAACCAUGAUGUCAUUAAUUUGGUGUUAUGGGAAGUUAGGACUGUUACUUUGAAAAAAUUAGAGUGUUUAAAGCAGGCUUUGGCUUGAAUACAUUAGCAUGGAAUAAUGAAAUAGGACGUUCGAACCUAUUUUGUUGGUUUCUAGGAUCAACGUAAUGAUUAAUAGGGAUAGUUGGGGGCAUUAGUAUUCAAUUGUCAGAGGUGAAAUUCUUGGAUUUAUUGAAGACUAACUACUGCGAAAGCAUUUGCCAAGGAUGUUUUCAUUAAUCAAGAACGAAAGUUAGGGGAUCGAAGACGAUCAGAUACCGUCGUAGUCUUAACCAUAAACUAUGCCGACUAGGGAUCGGAUGAUGUUAAUUUUUUAAUGACUCAUUCGGCGCCUUAC